rnacentral:rRNA from 1 species
ACGGAGGGUGCGAGCGUUAAUCGGAAUUACUGGGCGUAAAGCGCACGCAGGCGGUUUGUUAAGCAGAUGUGAAAGCCCCGGGCUCAACCUGGGAAUGGCAUUUUAGAGUGAGACUAGAGUCUUGGAGAGGGGGAGAUGACGUUCAGGUGUAAGCGGUGAAAUGCGUG